CGAGCGACAGACAAAGGAGCUUGCUCCUUUGACGUUAGCGGCGGACGGGUGAGUAACACGUGGGUAACCUACCUAUAAGACUGGGAUAACUUCGGGAAACCGGAGCUAAUACCGGAUAAUAUUUCGAACCGCAUGGUUCGAUAGUGAAAGAUGGUUUUGCUAUCACUUAUAGAUGGACCCGCGCCGUAUUAGCUAGUUGGUAAGGUAACGGCUUACCAAGGCGACGAUACGUAGCCGACCUGAGAGGGUGAUCGGCCACACUGGAACUGAGACACGGUCCAGACUCCUACGGGAGGCAGCAGUAGGGAAUCUUCCGCAAUGGGCGAAAGCCUGACGGAGCAACGCCGCGUGAGUGAUGAAGGUCUUCGGAUCGUAAAACUCUGUUAUUAGGGAAGAACAUACGUGUAAGUAACUAUGCACGUCUUGACGGUACCUAAUCAGAAAGCCACGGCUAACUACGUGCCAGCAGCCGCGGUAAUACGUAGGUGGCAAGCGUUAUCCGGAAUUAUUGGGCGUAAAGCGCGCGUAGGCGGUUUUUUAAGUCUGAUGUGAAAGCCCACGGCUCAACCGUGGAGGGUCAUUGGAAACUGUAAAACUUGAGUGCAGAAGAGGAAAGUGGAAUUCCAUGUGUAGCGGUGAAAUGCGCAGAGAUAUGGAGGAACACCAGUGGCGAAAGCGACUUUCUGGUCUGUAACUGACGCUGAUGUGCGAAAGCGUGGGGAUCAAACAGGAUUAGAUACCCUGGGUAGUCCACGCCGUAAACGAUGAGUGCUAAGUGUUAGGGGGUUUUCCGCCCCCUUAGUGCUGCAGCUAACGCAUUAAGCACUCCGCCUGGGGAGUACGACCGCAGUUUGAACUCCAAUGUAUGACCGGACCCGCAC
rnacentral:rRNA from 1 species